rnacentral:rRNA from 1 species
GAGGUCAUACGAUGGCAUCAGAAUAUGCGAAAGGUUUGGCGGUGAAGGAUGGGGAUGCGUCUGAUUAGCUUGUUGGUGAGGUAACGGCUCACCAAGGCGACGAUCAGUAGGGGUUCUGAGAGGAAGGUCCCCCACAUUGGAACUGAGACACGGUCCAAACUCCUACGGGAGGCAGCAGUGAGGAAUAUUGGUCAAUGGGCGAGAGCCUGAACCAGCCAAGUAGCGUGCAGGACGACGGCCCUAUGGGUUGUAAACUGCUUUUAUACGGGGAUAAAGUGAGUUACGUGUAGCUUAUUGCAGGUACCAUAUGAAUAAGGACCGGCUAAUUCCGUG